UGAAUUGCCCCGAUAACUACAAUCUCCAAAAGAGAGAAGCAAAAGGACGCGUUCUUCUUUUUUUCCCCUUUAUUCAGUAAAAGUGCGUUUAUUGCUUCUUUUCGGUAACCUGCAAGGGGUUCUUUGAGUAGUGAAUACUCUUUGUCUUUACAAACCCUGCAAAUUCUAUUCCGGCAAGUUUCAGGUUCCUCCGGAUCGCUCCGACGCCUUUGAUGUUCACAUCUUCUGGACGAGAGUCAUCUGUGACAGGAUAAUGGAAGAUCUAGUUAUCAAAGGCUUAUUCGGGCGUUUUUUUCUCAUGUCCAGUUCGUAGCAAAAUCUCCAACUUUUGCAGAGUAGCACAGGCUGGCUGCAUAUGUAGAUGUUUGUGGUGUUGGGGUUUCUACUAUCUGUGCCUUUGGAAUAAAUGGUUUUGUAAAUAAGCUGUUUAGGUUUGUAUUUUUUGAUGUAGUUUUUUCCAUAGCUGCUGUACUUGUACCUGCAACACUAGCAAUGUUAAUGUUAUGGGUUUUAAGGAGUUUCCCAACAUCUCCUUAUAGUUCUGGAAUUUUUGCGUCUUCCGAUCGACGUAACUCAGCAUGUUAGCGUAGCUCCGCAUAUUUAUAGUCAUGCUGCUGACUAUUAGCUUUUAGGUUUUGUAACUCUUUUCUCAUACUGUCCACCUUUGUAGAAAGUGUAGUAAUGGCUUUGAGUAUUUCUUCUAUUGUAUCUGGUUCAGUUUGAGUUCCUUUUUCUUGAUAGGUAGUUUGCAAUGGUGUUCUACCUUUUCCUUGUCAUAUUUAUAUUUUAGUACUCCUCCAUAACUGUGGUUACUUGAAUCUGUUUCAAUUAUAUAUGUGAAUGUUCUACUUUCAUCAGAAAAAUAUAAUUU